CACGUAGGGGGCAAGCGUUAUCCGGAUUUACUGGGUGUAAAGGGAGCGUAGACGGCAAUGCAAGUCUGGAGUGAAAGGCGGGGGCCCAACCCCCGGACUGCUCUGGAAACUGUAUAGCUGGAGUGCAGGAGAGGUAAGUGGAAUUCCUAGUGUAGCGGUGAAAUGCGUAGAUAUUAGGAGGAACACCAGUGGCGAAGGCGGCUUACUGGACUGUAACUGACGUUGAGGCUCGAAAGCGUGGGGAGCAAACAGG
rnacentral:rRNA from 1 species